GCCCCCAUAGUUUAAAAGAACAUAACCUUUUCAAGGUUAAGGGGUAGGGGGUA
rnacentral:tRNA from 1 species